GCCCGUUUAGCUCAGUGGUAGAGCGCGCCACUCGUAGUUCUGCUUCGAGGAUGUAUAUGGUGAGGUCGCUAGUUCAAUCCUGGCAGUGGGCA